GUUUUGAGGUGGUGUAUUAUGCAGCAGUAGUUAACGGAAACAUCUUCCCAGCAAUCUCCUUGCUAAGCAAAAGUUUUUGGCAAAUUGCCGCUGCAGCUACUUCCUCUGUUUACUGUUAACUGCAACAGUGAGAGCUCAGAAAUUCCCAGACUGUUUUGAUGAUAAGGUCCAAGAACUUGCCAUGUGAUCCAUCACUACUAGACUCCCACAACUGCAUUAGAUUUGUUCAGGAUUUUCAUAUAAUUUUCAUAACUGGCUAAGCAUUGGAAAUGGAUGGGGAGAAGGCCUGAUGAAAAUUACUGAGGAAGCCUCUUAGCCUAUGUGCUCUGAGAGUAGUGACACCUAGCAGUCGUUAAGACCACUUAAAUUAUCCUAAGACAAUGGAUGUGAACAGGCACUUUUCAAAAGAAGACAUACAUGCAGCCAACAAUCAAAUGAAAAAAAGCUCUACAUUACUGAUCAUUAGAGAAAUGCAAAUCAAAACCACA
rnacentral:lncRNA from 10 species